AUUGAACGCUGGCGGCAGGCCUAACACAUGCAAGUCGAACGAGUGGCGGACGGGUGAGUAAUGUCUGGGAAACUGCCUGAUGGAGGGGGAUAACUACUGGAAACGGUAGCUAAUACCGCAUACCAUCGGAUGUGCCCAGCUGGGAUUAGGUAGUAGGUGGGGUAAAGGCUCACCUAGGCGACGAUCCCUAGCUGGUCUGAGAGGAUGACCGGCCACACGGGAACGGAGACACGGUCCAGACUCCUACGGGAGGCAGCAGUGGGGAAUAUUGGAACAUGGGCGCAAGCCUGAUGCAGCCAUGCCGCGUGUAUGAAGAAGGCCUUCGGGUUGUAAAGUUCUUUCAGCGUGGAGGCGUUACCCGCAGAAGAAGCACCGGCUAACUACGUGCCAGCAGCCGCGGUAAUAC
rnacentral:rRNA from 1 species